UGUAGGGUCGUGUGGGACAGUCCCGUUCCUCGAGGGGGAAUGUUCGUACUACCACCGGCAGCUAGGCGGCACAAGCUGGACUACCUUGGGUAGAUCCUUAAUUGGAAAUGAAAAUCGACACGGAGUCGUUAUGUAAUAAUCACUACUUGAUAAUAUAUCGUAGUUGGAUUCAGUGGACAUUGGGAUAUAUAGUGUACUUGGUCGCUAUGAUAGUGCAUACUAGAAAUGUAUUGGACACUUGGACAUAUAGUAUACUUGAUAGUAUUGCUUGUUGCAUCACAGUAUACUUGGUAGCCAUGAUAGAGCAUACUUGUUAU
rnacentral:lncRNA from 1 species